UACGAAGGGGGCUAGCGUUGCUCGGAAUUACUGGGCUUAAAGCGUGUGUAGGCGGGAUGGUAAGUACCUUGUGAAAUCCCACAGCUUAACUGUGGAAAUGCUUGGUAUACUGCCGUUCUUGAGUCACCUAGGGGCAGCUGGAACAGAUGGUGGAGCGGUGAAAUGCAUAGAUAUCAUCUGGAACGCCAAUGGUGCAGACAAGCUGCUGGGGGUGUACUGACGCUGAGGCACGAAAGCCAGGGGAGCAAACGGG
rnacentral:rRNA from 1 species